UUUGCUGAUCACUCAUCCAUCCACAGAAAAUUAGCCGGGUCUGGGUGGUGGAUCUUUAAGUGAAGAAAGCUGAAAAGCCUUUGGUUUAAGUACAUGGAUGAACAGUUUUACAAAACGAGAAGACUGAAGGUUUCUUGGUAUAAAAUACAGUACCAUAUGUUAUAAGGAAGUGAAUCUUAAAGGCCAACUUCUGCUCUUGGAUUCAGCUCUCAGUGACUUCAAUGGUGUCCCACUGCAGUGGAGGCUGGUGACAUCUGCAAAUGGGCAGCUCCACUGAAAUGGAUAGAAUAAGCUGAUCGGGGAAUCUGUUGGACUAUGUUAGUACAGUACAAUUUUCUUUUUCUGUGUCUGAGAAUCUUAUAGCAUAGAGGUGGCCUCAGUACCAGUUUGUAUUAUUAAGGGAAGGUAAAUACAAUAUUGUGCAGGCCUUAUUAAUCUACUAAUAUGUCAGCUAUGUGCAGUACACAGUAUAUUAGUAUGUCAUUAAUAAUAAUAGUAUUAUUUUUGUUGUUUGGAGCCUUUGCUAGGAAACUUUGGCCCUGUUUCUGAGCGUCACUUAAAGAGCACUGCAGGCAUCUGACUCAGGCUAUGUCUACACUAUGUAACUUUUAGCGACAGCCGCUAAAAGGCUCACAGUGUAGCCGCUGUU